CCUACGGGGGGCAGCAGUGGGGAAUAUUGGACAAUGGGGGGAACCCUGAUCCAGCCAUGCCGCGUGUGUGAAGAAGGCCCUCGGGUUGUAAAGCACUUUCAGUGAGGAAGAACGCCUGGUGGUUAAUACCCAUCAGGAAAGACAUCACUCACAGAAGAAGCACCGGCUAACUCCGUGCCAGCAGCCGCGGUAAUACGGAGGGUGCGAGCGUUAAUCGGAAUUACUGGGCGUAAAGCGCGCGUAGGUGGCUUGAUAAGCCGGUUGUGAAAGCCCCGGGCUCAACCUGGGAACGGCAUCCGGAACUGUCAAGCUAGAGUGCAGGAGAGGAAGGUAGAAUUCCCGGUGUAGCGGUGAAAUGCGUAGAGAUCGGGAGGAAUACCAGUGGCGAAGGCGGCCUUCUGGACUGACACUGACACCGAGGUGCGAAAGCGUGGGUAGCAAACAGGAUUAGAUACCCUGGUAGUC
rnacentral:rRNA from 1 species